UCUUUAAAAUCCCGCUAAAUCCUUAUUUGACUGCACCCCCGAGGGAAAAAAUCGGAAAGCCAAAACCUCCACCACAAACGAAGUCACGAACACGCCACUCUCACUCACCCUCCACCGUUACACACGAACCCAAUCAUAAUUCUGAAAUCCAAACACAACCCAGGUGUUAAUCCUUCAGAGAAUGGCAAUGGCCACUUCUUCUUCCUUCCUCUCAAUGAUCCCUCUCCUCAAGACCUCUUCUUUGCUUUCCCCAGUUAAACACUGAGCUCCGAGUUCAGGGCUCUGUCCCUCUACGGCGGUAGAAAUGGAGUCUUCACCUCCUCGGCGAUGGCCACGGAGGCUCAGGUCUCGACCCAAGACGACAAAUUGAAGGAUGCCCAGAUGGAGGUAGCUGAUAAGUCUGAGAAAGUCGUGCUUCCAACAAACGAGUCCUCCGAAAACCUCAUCAGAAUUCGACACAUGAAUGAGGAAGUAAGGAUGAAGAAAAUAAGAACAUAACUUCUCGGCAAUUUGAAAUUUGAUCGAAUAGGACAUGGAAAAAUGGGUGUACAGCAGCGGAUAAGCUGGGAAAAUUUUCGUCCUGUUUUUGGGAAUGUGAGAAGAUGCACGGGUUUCUGUAUUUUGAUAAAGUGUUGAGUGUGCACACGCGAUGGCCAUGGCUGUUCAAAAGUUCUUCCCGGAUGCAAGAGUGACAAUUGGUCCGUGGAUAGAAAAUGGGUUCUAUUAUGAUUUUGAUAUGGAGCCUUUGACGGACAAAGAGUUGAAGAGAAUCAAGAAGGAGAUGGAUAGCAUCAUUGGUUGAAACUUACCACUCAUAAGAGAAGAAGUUUCAAGAGAUGAAGCUCACAAAAAGAAUAACCACUCUCAACGAACCAUACAAAUUGGAUAUUUUGGAUAGUAUUAAAGAAGAUCCCAUUACCAUAUAUCAUAUUGGUGAUGAAUGGUGGGACGUAUGUGCGGGGCCCCAUGUUGAAAAAACUGGAAAUAUUAACAGAAAAGCUGUCGAACUUGAGUCUAUUGCUGGUGCCUGCUGGAGAGGAGAUGAAAAGAAACCGAUGCUGCACAGGACCUAUGGCACUGCAUGGGAGAGUGAAGAUCAAUUGAAGGCAUAUCUUCAUUUCAAAGAGGAAGCUAAACGUCGAGAUCACAGGCGCCUUGGUCAAGUUCUUGACCUGUUUUCUAUACAGGUGCUUUCAAGUGACAGCCCCAACUAUGGAUGCAUGCUGCCACUGGAAACUAAAAAAUUUUAAUAGUUGCUGGGAUCACUGAUCCAACUAAAGUGGGUUUCUUUAUCAAGUACUUCACGAAUAGAAUAUUUCGGAGAUCCAAUCACUGGGACAGAUUGAAUAAGGUGAAGAUCACAGGGGUGGGAUACUGGGGAGGGUGGUAGGGUUAUGGGGAGUGGGCUCUGGUUGGUUUCGAUUUGACCGAGGCCAUGGUUCAGCCACAAGAUGUAGUGCCUACGCGUGGGGUUUAGGGAUUUCAUAGGAAGGGUUACGGAGGGAAGGGGUGCACGCGUGAAUUGCAGAGGGAGAGGGAGAAGGAGGGGGAGUAGGGUUGCUAUAUUCAAGUUCUCUUUUUUAUUUUUACUUGAAUUUGAUUUGAUUCUUUAGUUAUUUAUUUUUUUGCGACAGGUUGAGAAUGCAAAAGCUCAGCUGGAGCUGGAGGUGAGAAUUUUAAUUUAAUUCAUGGUAUAUUGUGUGUUUUUUUUUUUUUUUUUUUUUUUUUUUUUACUUUAUUUUUGUGGGAUUGUGCUGUUUUUGGGGAAAACAAUAUUAAAUUGAAGUAAAGUUUAGAUAUUUCUGUAAUUGGGAUUUAGAGUAAGAGAUGAAGAACUAAAUGUGAUUGCAAAAUUAAAAGUUAUAGAACUUUUUCGGUUUGGAAGCUAAUUUUAAAUUCAGUUAGCUGAUUAAUUAAUAGAGAAAUGUAUAGCGAAUGCGUGGUAUGUUUUUCGAUGCGUAUAAGCAGACAUGGGUGCUGCUUCAGCGGCAGCAGCUGCUAUAUGAUGGUAGAUGAGGAAUUCUGAGAUGCUGAGUGCUCCUAGUGUCAGAGAUGAAGACUUGAUAAUGAUCGUUCCAAUUCCGCCCCAAGGUAUACUUGACGAUGUUCGUGCCUUUAAUGGGCCUGUCAAUAUAUUUCAAUGCACCCACCAAUUGGUUUUAUCGUCAUACAUCAUUCAUUAGAAAUGGGAUGGUGAGUUUCUCAAUACAGUUUUAAUUUUUGUGCGAAUAAUGUUUGUAAAGUCUAUUUUUAUUUCGUUCAUUGCAGAUUCUUAUUUUUUAUUUAGUUCACCAUUCAUGCUUUUAAAGAUAAGAAGUGCAAGGCUCUCUGAGAUGUUAGUUUUGGGUGGCAAUUGAAAGAUACGAGGAUAAACAAAAAUACCUACCAAUUGAAAGGAUAAAUUCAAUUGAAAAUAUUUGGUUCAUCAAUUAUUAUAGUUUGAGCUUUCUGCAUUAAAUGUCCUGUUUUCGGGAAGAGUGAUUC